rnacentral:rRNA from 1 species
AGAGUUUGAUCAUGGCUCAGAUUGAACGCUGGCGGCAUGCCUAAUACAUGCAAGUCGAACGGUAGCAGGCCCUUCGGGGUGCUGACAAGUGGCGGACGGGUGAGUAAUGCAUGGGAAUCUGCCUAGUAGUGGGGAACAACUCGGGGAAACUCGAGCUAAUACCGCAUACGCCCUACGGGGGAAAGCGGGGGAUCUUCGGACCUCGUGCUAUUAGAUGAGCCCAUGUCCGAUUAUGCUUGUUGGUGGGGUAAUGGCUUACCAAGGCUACGAUCGGUAGCUGGUCUGAGAGGACGAUCAGCCACACUGGGACUGAGACACGGCCCAGACUCCUACGGGAGGCAGCAGUAGGGAAUAUUGGACAAUGGGCGAAAGCCUGAUCCAGCAAUGCCGCGUGUGUGAAGAAGGCCUGCGGGUUGUAAAGCACUUUUAGUGGGGAAGAAAAGCUUGGGGUUAAUACCUCUGAGUCUUGACGUUACUCACAGAAAAAGCACCGGCUAACUCUGUGCCAGCAGCCGCGGUAAUACAGAGGGUGCGAGCGUUAAUCGGAAUUACUGGGCGUAAAGCGUGCGUAGGCGGCCGAGUAAGUCGGAUGUG